UGCGGGGCAAAAUAGAAUUUUACCACGAUACAAAUCCCAGGAUCUAGAGACUAGAGCGAGCCUACAUACACACUCCCUCUCGCCAUCUCUAGUCAUCUGCCCUCCGCACCCCUCCUCUCAAUCACCACCGCCACCACGGUUUCAUCUUCUCCUUCUUACUUGGAAGUGUUACAGACUCUGAUCUAAGCAGAGGAAUGGUAUUGAUGAGGGGAGAGCCACUAGUGACGAAACUGGCAGCCUUGGCCAAGUACGUGGUUUUUCCUGGAGCCAUGGCCGCAGCUGUUAUCUAUUCCCCUCCUGAUUACACUUCCAAGAACGAUCCUAAAUCCACCAAAUAAGACUAGCUCGGUCGGUACUUUUUCUCUGCAAGGGGGCAUGCUGCAUAGAAGUCGAUGUUAGAAGAACGAUUACUAAAUGCGUCUCUCCCUUUGUUCAAAUUUGGUAUGUAAUAAUCUGGGCUAAGUAGUUGCUCAAUUUCAGGGGUGUUUCCUGCUUUCUUUGAAGAACUUAGACCAUGAAGUCUUUGGAUGUACUUUCUCAAUGUAGUUUCCCCAUUUGGAAUGUACUUCCAAUGAAAAACGCUUUGGAGUACAAUAAUUGUUGGAUAACGGGCGGAGUGUAGUGCUACAAGUAAUGAUAUAUGUUGUAUUCACAACUCUGCAUAUGGCUUUAUGUUGCUUGUCAUGAAUGUUACCCUUUAAAUAAAAUGCAAAUGGUUACAAUUUUCUUUUAA